GCUCACCAAGGCGACGAUCAGUAGCCGGUCUGAGAGGAUGAACGGCCACAUUGGGACUGAGAUACGGCCCAGACUCCUACGGGAGGCAGCAGUGGGGAAUAUUGGGCAAUGGGGGAAACCCUGACCCAGCAACGCCGCGUGAAGGAAGAAGGCCUUCGGGUUGUAAACUUCUUUUACCAGGGACGAAGGACGUGACGGUACCUGGAGAAAAAGCAACGGCUAACUACGUGCCAGCAGCCGCGGUAAUACGUAGGUUGCAAGCGUUGUCCGGAUUUACUGGGUGUAAAGGGCGUGUAGGCGGAGAUGCAAGUUGGGAGUGAAAUCCAUGGGCUCAACCCAUGAACUGCUCUCAAAACUGUAUCCCUUGAGUAUCGGAGAGGCAAGCGGAAUUCCUAGUGUAGCGGUGAAAUGCGUAGAUAUUAGGAGGAACACCAGUGGCGAAGGCGGCUUGCUGGACGACAACUGACGCUGAGGCGCGAAAGCGUGGGGAGCAAACAGGAUUAGAUACCCUGGUAGUCCACGCUGUAAACGAUGAAUACUAGGUGUGGGAGGACUGACCCCUUCCGUGCCGCAGUUAACACAAUAAGUAUUCCACCUGGGGAGUACGACCGCAAGGUUACAACUCAAAUGAAUUGACGG
rnacentral:rRNA from 1 species